rnacentral:tRNA from 1 species
GCCUGAGUGGCUCAAUUGGUUGAGCGUCCGACUUCGGCUCAGGUCAUGAUCUCACAGUUCGUGGGUUCGGGCCCCACAUCAGGCU